UACGUAGGGUGCAAGCGUUGUCCGGAAUUAUUGGGCGUAAAGAGCUCGUAGGCGGUCUGUCGCGUCUGCUGUGAAAACUCAGGGCUUAACCCUGAGCUUGCAGUGGGUACGGGCAGACUAGAGUGCGGUAGGGGAGACUGGAAUUCCUGGUGUAGCGGUGAAAUGCGCAGAUAUCAGGAGGAACACCGGUGGCGAAGGCGGGUCU
rnacentral:rRNA from 1 species